rnacentral:rRNA from 1 species
GCCAAUGCAUGCUUUUACAGUAUGGAAAUUGGUGAUUUAUAAUAACUUGGCAAAUCGCAAAGUGAAAACAGGCGAUAAAUCAUUCAAGUUUCUGACCUAUCAGCUUUCGACGGUAUGGUAUUGGCUUACCGUGGCAGUGACGGUUAACGGGGGAUUAGGGUUCGAUUCCGGAGAGGGAGCCUGAGAAACGGCUACCACAUCUAAGGAAGGCAGCAGGCGCGCAAAUUACCCAAUUCUAACAGUUUGAGAGAGGUAGUAACAAGAAAUAACAAUACAAGGCAAUUAAAAUGCUUUGUAAUUGGAAUGAUAGAAAUUUAAACCCUUUUUAAAGUAUCAAUUGGAGGGCAAGUCUGGUGCCAGCAGCCGCGGUAAUUCCAGCUCCAAUAGCGUAUAUUAAAAUUGUUGCAGUUAAAAAGCUCGUAGUUGAAGUUCUGCUAAAAGUAACCGGUCUGCUUUUAAUAAAAGUGGUAUCUUGGUGUGUAUUUAGCAAUGAUGUCCUUUGAAGUGUUUUUUACUUUAUUGUAAUAAAGCAUAUUCAGGACUUUUACUUUGAGAAAAUUAGAGUGUUUCUAGCAGGCUGACGCUUUGAAUACUGCAG